GUGAUUCCAGCUUCAGAAGAAGGAGACAGAUAGACAGUUCUGAGAAAAAGCUGGUCAGGAAGAUUCAGGGUAUCUGGGAACUCUGGAUUUGAAUGAGAGACCCUGUCUAUGAGUAAAAUAAGGCAGAAGAGCUAUAGAGAAUAAUACUUGACACUGAACUCAGGCCUACCUCACAUAUGUACACAUGCACACAUACAUGGUUUCUGAUGUCAACCAACCCUUCUUUGGCAGUGGGAAAGAAGUUCAGCUCUGGACUUCCAGGAAUACCUAACCUGGACAGAAUAGUCAUCCGGAAUGCCUCCUCCACAGGUAAUUGUGACAUCAUUUUGGUUAUCGCUAUCACUGUUCCUACCUACUUCCUGGCCCUUUUCCUAGCCACCAUGCUAGCCAGCAUCCUGCCCACUGUCUCUAGUCUUCAUGGCCAGCUCAUAGUUCUUGAAGAGAAGAGCAUGGCUCCAAGGUAAUGCCACACUGCAGGGGCAGAGCUGGCUUUCAGUCUAUCCAAGCUGACUUCCAGGUCUAUACUGUGUCUGUCUCCUGCCACCUUUCUGGUCUGUGCUAAGCUCCGGGUGCAGAAGAAGAAGACAGAUUCCUGCUGGUUUUGUGGGACUAGGAAAGUCUUGUGUUUGCAUGUCGUCUCUAAGAGAACAGCUUUGAUUGAAGCAGACAGAUACACACCAGUGUUUGUAUGGAUAUGGGCAAGGUGUUGGCAUGGGUUUGUGUGGGUCCAUGUGUCUGUGUGCAUCUGGGCUCUGUAAUUGGAACUGGGAGUAAGGCUCUCACUGUCCUCCCCUGCAAAGCAACCACAUUCUGGAGCUGCCGUGGGGACCUGGUCAGUCAUGGCCAGGCCGGAAGGUCCUGGUAAAUACAACUGCUUUUCAUUAAAGUGGCCGAGAGGGAGAAAUCCAGCCCAGCCCAGGUCAUGGUCACAGCCAUGAGCAACCAUCCUCAGCCAAGCCAGAAAGAUGCAGCUGAGGCCCCAGGAGACCUGCAGUUGCAGUCCAGCUCUGGGGUCCCAGGGUCACCCGUGUCAGCACCCACAGAAGGCAUCGGAGGAAGAAGAAUUCAAAUAGCCUGAGGACCAGUGGGGGCGGGGAGACGAUGCCCACACCCUCCUGGCAGUUCUGCCUGCUCUCUCUCCUAAUUCAUCUAUCACGAUAUGGCUGGAUUCCAUCCAUCCUACCAACUUCCUGCUCAGGAACUGGCCAUGACUUUUCCACAUCUCAACUGAAUUGCACUUCUGGGCUCAGUGUAAACGUCCUCUGUGGCUUUGCAAGCUGGACAUCAUCACGUCCUCCUCCCAUGGUUCUCUAACCCAAGCCAUCCCCAUGUCCAGCUACUCUCCCCACAGAUAUCCUGCCAAGUCCUUCCACAUCAUUGCUCAUGAACUUUAAAAAAAAAAAAACCAAUAAAAAAACAACCCAGAAUGUCUUUU
rnacentral:lncRNA from 1 species